rnacentral:rRNA from 1 species
UACGGGGGGGGCAAGCGUUGUUCGGAAUUACUGGGCGUAAAGGGCUGGUAGGCGGCCAACUAAGUCGGAUGUGAAAUCCCCAGGCUUAACCUGGGAACUGCAUCCGAUACUGGUCGGCUUGAAUCCGGGAGAGGGAUGCAGAAUUCCAGGUGUAGCGGUGAAAUGCGUAGAUAUCUGGAGGAAUACCUAUUGCGAAGGCAGCUCGCUGGGACGUAACUGACGCUGAGACGCGAAAGCGUGGGGAGCAAACAGG